UCUCAGUAGGAAACUUCUUCAGGUUGACC
rnacentral:rRNA from 1 species